rnacentral:rRNA from 1 species
UACGUAGGGGGCUAGCGUUGCUCGGAAUCACUGGGCGUAAAGCGCACGUAGGCGGCUUCUUAAGUCAGGGGUGAAAUCCUGGAGCUCAACUCCAGAACUGCCUCCGAUACUGGCAGUCUCGAGUGCGGGAGAGGUGAGUGGAAUUCCCAGUGUAGAGGUGAAAUUCGUAGAUAUUCGCAAGAACACCAGUGGCGAAGGCGGCUCACUGGCCCGAUACUGACGCUGAGGCACGAAAGCGUGGGGAGCAAACAGG